rnacentral:rRNA from 1 species
UACAGAGGUCUCAAGCGUUGUUCGGAUUCAUUGGGCGUAAAGCGCGCGUAGGCGGAUCUGCAAGUCGGGGGUGAAAUCCCGAGGCUCAACCUCGGAACUGCCUUCGAUACUGCGGGUCUUGAGUCCGGGAGAGGUGAGUGGAAUUCCUAGUGUAGAGGUGAAAUUCGUAGAUAUUAGGAAGAACACCAGUGGCGAAGGCGGCUCACUGGCCCGGUACUGACGCUGAGGCGCGAAAGCGUGGGGAGCAAACAGG